GCUCCUUCGAGUUAAUGUUGUUACGAAAACUAUCACUUUUUACAGCUGUCACAUAUGCAUUUGGCUUAAGAACUCUCAAAUCUUGUGUCUUCACAAUGCCUACUGUUGGUGACCCAAGGACACUGCUUCAUUGCUAAACCAACUACCUACUCAAUUCUUGCAAAAUUACUGUUUACAGACAAACACAUUUAAAAAAAAGCUGCUACUUUGUUUUUUCAAGCCUCUUCUAUCACAGUGGUUUACUUAUUGCAAAGUGAUUUCCACAAAGGUUACAGUGGUGAAAAUUAAAUGGGUAUUUUUCAAAACUGACACAGUAUAUGCACCUGCUCCAGACUAAGCGGUGUUCUCUAGGAUUAUCUGCAAGGCAUUUAAGGCAAGAUUGAGCCAAGAUAGCAUAGAGCUAUGCUGUAGCCGAUUACUUCAACUAAUGCACCCAUCUUCUAGAAAGAACCGAUUACUAGUAUGAUGAUGUUUCAGUACAUGGCUACCUACCUUGCUGCGUGUCAGUUUCUUCCCUCUGCAACACAGGUAAUACCCCAGAUGUGAAGCACAUGAGAGCCAGCAGGUAAGAAACAAUGUAUGCAGACUUUACACAGGCCUGCCUAUAACAGACUGUUCACAGAACUACAAAAAUGCUAUGCUUGGUAUAUUCUUCAGUUGGUAUUAAUUAGUAUUAUACUAAUACUACACUUAGUACUGAUGUAAUGUUUAGAACAUUACAAUUGCCAAGCCAAAGCCUCAAAAUUAACAGAAGUUAUUAGUCUCUGCAAGCUUAAUUUACUCCUUCUAUACGUGUACUCUGGUAUUAGUUUCAUGUCACUACAUAUUUCCAGCAAUACUCACAAUGGGAAAUACUCUGUGAAAAAGCAGCCACUCAGAAUUUAGCUUUGCAUUCAUGUAGAGUCCUGGCCUUAUUCACUCAUGUGUUGCGCAGUAUUUAAACUUGGUUCUUAACAAAACUGUCUCUUGUUAACCUUUACAUAUUGCUCUUUACAAAAGUGUCUAGGUUCUUCAAACACUGCUUUCUGAGUUAAA